AUUUUCCUCGAUUCCGAUUCGCUAACGUGUGCAUUGCGCGAGAUUCAUUCGGGCGGCAUAUCCGCGCGACUACUUGAGGAAGCGACGAUCGUAUUUGUCUUUAAUCUUAGCUUAUGCAUUCAAUUAUCUACGUUGUCGUACGGGGAUAGUAAUCGCUGAACCGCGAGCGUGUAACGCUCGCUACGUAAACUCGAGAAAAAGCUUGAGAAUGCAGUCGCGAGCGGGUUAUAAUUCAGUCGCUUGGCGAAGGGAGCGCGGGGAGAGGGACGGGGGGCAACCGCAGCGCGUCAGCAUGAAGUUGCAGCGCGUCCCUCUGAUUUCGUCACGUUCGAGAUUCGGCCAUUACUUAAUACGUAAUACGCACGUCGCGUCGCGAAUGCCGAGCGGUCCGUGGCUUCGUUCAACACAAUUUCAGUGCCGUUUCCUCGCCGCGGUAUAAUAAAUCGCGCACGUCGCGUGGUAAUGAAUAUCGCAGAGCCAAAUGGAGCUCAAUCGUGCCGGUCAUUGCGCGGUUCGAGCGGUUAAGAUAGGUAUGUAUGUAGGUAUGAACGAGAGUAAUGAUUCGGUAGGAAUUGUAAUAAUGAUUGCGUGCUUCACUGAGAUAUUUGAUAGCAAUCGCUACAAUGCGAGCGUGUAAUGCUCGCUACAUAAAAUCAGGAAAAUAUGCAUGAGAAUGUCGGCGGGAUCAGCAGGUUAGAUAUAGUCGGAGAGGUGGGAGGGGGAAGGGGAGGGAAGAAAGGGAGAGCGCGCGGGCGGCACAUGAGAUUGGCAAUACUUUUUGAUUUCGUCGUUCGCGUUGAGAUCCGCCCGUUAUGAUAAUUGAUGCACGCGUGUCGCCAACGCUGAGAGCGGACCGUGGCUUUGUGCAAUGUAGUUUCAUUGUCAUUUGCUCCCCGCGGUAUAAUAAAAUGCGCGUAUCGUGUGCAAUUAAUGUUAAGAGCGCUGUUGUCCUGUUGUGAUUAGUGUACGCGCGAUCGCGUUAACCGUGCCCUCGCGAGUGAAUAUUAUGUAAGUGUCCAUAAGGGGGAAGCAAUGGAGGGACAGAGAUUCGAGAGGAGGAGACCUGGGAGAAGAAAAGUGUGGUGUAACGACGGAGCAACCAUGAGAUUUAUAUACUUUGCUGCUCCACUUUGCGAGUGAAUAUUGUGUAAGUGCCCAUGAGGGAGAAGCAAUAGAAAUACAUAGAUCGAGAUAAAAUUCUGAGAGGAGGAGGAGGCCUGGGAGAAGGCGUCGUGCAACGGCGGAGCAAUCACGAGAUUUACGUACUCCGCUGCUGCGCAUCGUAUUGGUUUACAGAAUCAGAGGUGAAGGAGGAGGAGGCCUGGGAGAGGUAUCUGGCCCCGGCGGAGCAACUUUGGGUAUCAUCGCAGCUUCGUGGCUGAGUAACUCCGCUCGUUGCGCAUCGGUCGGUGAGUCAGGAAUUAGUUUUCUUAUUAUAUUUUAUGCUUUAUGUCCUGCGCAGGAUAAAAAAAAGGGCAUUGAAAGAAAGAUUUUGGUAAUAGCUACCAAAUGUUGGGUG